UAAUUUGAAAAGCCUAGCCGUCUCCAUUUUAUUUGAUUACCCCUUUCUUUU
rnacentral:sRNA from 1 species